ensembl:lncRNA
AUUCACCCGCUUCGGCUGUUAUCAGUCCAUACAAUGGGCGUUAUUAGCAGAAAUCAGUCCCAUAGAUAUGGGCCAUCUCCACCUGCUAGAUUGUUCAGAAGGUUGUUAUCAUCCAUCCAGAUGGAGGAUCAGUAACAGGAACGUGGGAAGACUCCAGGAUCCACUCUGGCUGGAAUCCGGUGGAUACAGCAGUGUUACAGAACAGUUCUCCACAGUCACUGUCCACAUGGGUCAGUGGGACCAAGAAGCACUCUGCUAAUGUGAGACUCUGACCAGCAACAUCCAGCAAGACCCAGGCAGUGUUUUCUAUCUCCCAGCUGGAGUUUUUUUGUUUGUCUGUGACUGGAGAGUCAGAUUUUUGUUGAGGCUGGAGGAACAGCCUCACACUUGCAGAGGUUAAUACACGCUACUGAUCCCUGAUGGGAGAAUCAUCACCUCUGCCAACAAAGAAGCCUGGUGGAUGUUUGUUUACAGUCUGAUGAUGGGACAUCAUGCUCUGCAUCUUCAAAGUUUGUCUCUUGAUUAUUAUUCAUACACAGUAAUGUGAAGCAUGCUCAUAUCUAGUAUAACUGGACCAACCUGGUGCUCUUCAUUUAUGGAGGCUGUUGAGUCUGAAUGUUGGAUGUUGUGUAUCUCGUGUUCUCUGGGCUUUGUUGUCCUCAGUCUUUUUGCAGGAUCAGAAAACAAAACCAGGAGGCCUGUAAAUGUUUCUUCUCCAAUUGGAUGAUGAUAAGACUGUGACACGGGAUGCCACCUUUAGUCUUGUGAUGAAGCAAAGCUCAGGAAGAAGUGUGAUUAAAUGGUACCCACAUGUGUGCUGCUGAGAAGGAUGUACAGGGGCACCUGCAGCCAAAUCCAAGCCUCCUCAGCAACUUCAAGUCUGUCAGCGUGCUGAGGUCACAGAAACAAGAAAAGCAGCUUCAGACUUCAGAGUGUUGUUUACAGUUUUCUGUCAUCAUGAUCUCCCCUGAAGUUUAUCACUAUUAUACAAGCAAUGGUGACGGUGUGGAGAGACGGUGGUGUUUCCUCAGAAGAACCAGCAGAGUCACAAAGGGCACGAGUCCAUCUCACCACCUUGACUUACUGACAGAUGUUCGUCUGCACUGCACAGAGGAAAUCAACUAACCGAGGAGUGUUUCUGAGUGAGGGAGAGAGGAGUCAUCAUCCAGGUAAAGUGACAUGGAUCAGUGGAUACACUUGUCUCCCCUUUAAAGGAGACGAUCCGAGUCAUCCUUAAAUAUGGGCAGGAUAUCAGUCUUGGACUGUCUAACCUGCCGGAGCAGCACUGAAUGAUCACCACACAUGAGCAUGUUCCUGCAACAUUCAGCAUCUGAUCUGCCAUCUGUGUGCUUCUGCUUUUGAUAAUGUCAAAUGUCAACCAGCUGGAGAGGAAACUACACCAGUGUACUGGGAUGUUUCAGCAACACGUGCCAGAUGCUGUUCCUUCAUGGUUUCAUCACCAGAGACAGCCCCGCCCACCUCAGGACCUCGCCAUUGAUCAUGAUGAUUAUAAUAAUGACAGCGAGCGGAACUAAGACUGUAAAAAUCCACGACCAGAAUGUUUAGAUGCUUUCUAAUUAUUAAUGAAUACUGAGAGCCUCUUUCUGUGUUUUGUCUGUUUUGUUUUGGUUUUUUUACCUCAUUUGUUACUAACAAAGUUCACCAAACUCACACAGUUUACAUUCUGUAUGUUUCCAUCUUUACCAGCCACACUCUUAACUGCAAUUAAGCAAAUAAUCCUUAGAAAUCGUCGUUUUUCUCUUUUGUAAUUGAUGAUAAUUCAGUGAAUAUACUGCGCUGCUUCCUUUUAUUGCGUCACACAUUGCUUUAAGUUUUUCAGUGUCCAGUUAUUUUUUUACUGCUGUUUGAAUUCUCUGUAUGUUUGACCCUGUAGACUGUUUAAUGGACUGCUUGUCUUCCUGUUUGUAAC